UUCAGAACUCUAUAUUAAAAUAAAUAAAAUGACAGGAGCGUUUCAAAGUGGAUUGUUGGAACACUAGUGUGCAAACUUUUUUCCUACCACA